CGGACUAUGGCGCAGUUUGGUAGCGCACUACACUGGGGGUGUAGGGGUCGCAGGUUCAAAUCCUGUUAGUCCGACCG
rnacentral:tRNA from 3 species